AGUGAACGCUGGCGGCAGGCCUAACACAUGCAAGUCGAGCGGCAGCGCGGGGGCAACCCUGGCGGCGAGCGGCGGACGGGUGAGGAAUGCAUCGGAAUCUACCUCGUUGUGGGGGAUAACGUAGGGAAACUUACGCUAAUACCGCAUACGACCUACGGGUGAAAGUGGGGGACCUUCGGGCCUCACGCGAUGAGAUGAGCCGAUGCCGGAUUAGCUAGUUGGCGGGGUAAAGGCCCACCAAGGCGACGAUCCGUAGCUGGUCUGAGAGGAUGAUCAGCCACACUGGAACUGAGACACGGUCCAGACUCCUACGGGAGGCAGCAGUGGGGAAUAUUGGACAAUGGGCGCAAGCCUGAUCCAGCCAUGCCGCGUGUGUGAAGAAGGCCUCGG
rnacentral:rRNA from 1 species